UACGAAGGGAGCUAGCGUUGUUCGGAAUCACUGGGCGUAAAGCGCACGUAGGCGGAUUUGUCAGUCAGGGGUGAAAUCCCGGGGCUCAACCUCGGAACUGCCUUUGAUACAGCAAGUCUUGAGUUCGAGAGAGGUGGGUGGAAUUCCUAGUGUAGAGGUGAAAUUCGUAGAUAUUAGGAAGAACACCGGUGGCGAAGGCAGCCAUCUGGACCGACACUGACGCUGAGGCGCGAAAGCGUGGGGAGCAAACAGG
rnacentral:rRNA from 1 species